GGGACCAUAGCUCAGUGGUAGAGCGCGCGACUCAUAAUCGCUUGGUCGAAGGUUCGAAUCCUUCUGGUCCCA
rnacentral:tRNA from 2 species